rnacentral:lncRNA from 1 species
GACCCGGAGAAGCGGCUCUACCCGGGCGGAUACUUCGACCCGCUCGGCCUCGCCUCGGACCCGGAGAAGAAGGAGAAUCUCCAGCUGGCCGAGAUCAAGCAUGCCCGCCUCGCCAUGAUCGCAUUCCUCAUAUUCGGCAUCCAGGCCGCCUACACCGGCAAAGGCCCGAUCGCCUUCGUCGCCACCUUCAACAAAUGAGCCCGCUCAGCCAUGUACACCACUCCCAUCCUGUCCCUCAAUAGAUCCCAACCUUUGUGUCGUUCCUUGGCUUUCUUUUUGGUACAAUGAUCCAGUUGUAAAAUACUAAAGUGAACUGAUUUAUGUUAUUCCCGCU